UACGUAGGUGGCAAGCGUUGUCCGGAAUUAUUGGGCGUAAAGCGCGCGCAGGUGGUUCCUUAAGUCUGAUGUGAAAGCCCACGGCUCAACCGUGGAGGGUCAUUGGAAACUGGGGAACUUGAGUGCAGAAGAGGAAAGUGGAAUUCCACGUGUAGCGGUGAAAUGCGUAGAGAUGUGGAGGAACACCAGUGGCGAAGGCGGCUUACUGGUCCAUAACUGACGCUGAGGUGCGAAAGCGUGGGGAGCAAACAGGAUUAGA
rnacentral:rRNA from 1 species